UCUCUGAUGAUAAUAAUUGGUCCGUGUUUAUGAAUUUAUUUUGAUUGCAAUUUCCCAAUUACUGAUUUAA